UAAGGAAUAUUGGACAAUGGAGGCAACUCUGAUCCAGCCAUGCCGCGUGAAGGAAUAAGGCCCUAUGGGUUGUAAACUUCUUUUAGACGGGACAAAACCCCUUUACGUGUAAAGGGUUGAUGGUACUGUCAGAAUAAGCAUCGGCUAACUUCGUGCCAGCAGCCGCGGUAAUACGAAGGAUGCAAGCGUUAUCCGGAAUUAUUGGGUUUAAAGGGUGCGUAGGCGGACUAAUAAGUCAGUGGUGAAAGCCUGCAGCUUAACUGCAGAAUUGCCAUUGUUACUGUUAGUCUUGAGUACAGUUGGGGUAGGCGGAAUGUGUCAUGUAGCGGUGAAAUGCUUAGAUAUGACACAGAACACCGAUUGCGAAGGCAGCUUGCUAAGCUGUAACUGACGCUGAGGCACGAAAGCGUGGGGAGCAAACA
rnacentral:rRNA from 1 species